rnacentral:rRNA from 1 species
AUUGAACGCUGGCGGCAGGCCUAACACAUGCAAGUCGAGCGGAUGAAGGGAGCUUGCUCCUGGAUUCAGCGGCGGACGGGUGAGUAAUGCCUAGGAAUCUGCCUGGUAGUGGGGGAUAACGUUCGGAAACGGGCGCUAAUACCGCAUACGUCCUGCGGGAGAAAGUGGGGGAUGUUCGGACCUCACGCUAUCAGAUGAGCCUAGGUCGGAUUAGCUAGUUGGUGGGGUAAAGGCCUACCAAGGCGACGAUCCGUAACUGGUCUGAGAGGAUGAUCAGUCACACUGGAACUGAGACACGGUCCAGACUCCUACGGGAGGCAGCAGUGGGGAAUAUUGGACAAUGGGCGAAAGCCUGAUCCAGCCAUGCCGCGUGUGUGAAGAAGGUCUUCGGAUUGUAAAGCACUUUAAGUUGGGAGGAAGGGCAGUAAGUUAAUACCUUGCUGUGUUGACGUUACCAACAGAAUAAGCACCGGCUAACUUCGUG